AGAGAGUGUGUGUCAAUACCCCGAGCAAGUGCUCCAUUCAGCUUUCCAAGGGCAAAUGCCUCUUAUUUGCUGAGUCUCUCCUGGAAAACCAUUUCUAGGAAGCAUGAGCCAAUGUCCCCACAGCACUGGGGGCUGCCCAGGGGAUGGUACGUUGAGAACAGCCCAGGGCACAGUCCUGGGAGAUUGGGCUUAAUGGGGUGCUUGGCUGUCAGCUCUAUGAUGUCACUAAACACCCUCUAUUGCCCAGAAACUGGCCAAGGAGUCCUCUCUGUGGUGUGAAUGCCAAGCUGAGUGCCCCGUGUGGCAUCGUGGAGACAGCUCGUGCUCUCUCCAGCUCUGGACUCUGCGCUUUCGACUCCAUCUUCACGUUACACUGGGUGGUCGCUGCCACUCAGGGAGACACAGAAGCUCACCCGGGUCGGGAUGAGAGGACGAAGAGCCCAUCACAUCACUUUCUGACUGACUCUUCUGCUCAACCAACUGUGGACUCGCACCCCACAAUUCUCAUGACUCGCUUGCAGAAAGGAGGAGUGAUGAUGCUGAGAGAAGGCAAAUCUGCCUGACCAGGGGAGAACUAUUUCCAAUCAAAGUGUCUAUUCAAUUAAAAUUCAGUCCCAUGAGAACAGUGGAGCAAUUCAAUAUUGAACUGAGGAAAUGACAAGAAAACAUCCCCCUGAUGAGGCAAGCUGUUUCUGGGAGCUUGCUUCAGCUCAACUGUUGUUUUUAUUCCGUUUCUACUCUUCCACCUUCCUGCUGAAAUUUUCUCUCUCAGAUACCAUAGAUGUGCACGUGUGUGUGCAUACACACACGUGCACAGGAGAGAGUAUUUGUAGUUUGCAAAUCUGAACCUCCAAGAGGCUAUUUCAAGAUUUCAUUUUCCUGGACUGUGCAAACCAUGAAUUCAUAUGACAGUGUUUCCAAAUUAUGCUGAGAAGGAAAAAACUAUAUGCAUAGUUUAGGUAAUUACAUCUGAUCAGCAAAACUGAAAUUGUACAAAAUCAUUGUAGAGAAAAGCAUUUUUGAAACAAAACACAAAGACCCAAAACAUGGAAAGAAACAACUUGAAUUUAGAAAACUCACCAUGUCUGGGCCUCUUCUGCAAUUUAUAAUAAUUUGAGUCACUCUGUGCAAUUCUUCAGUAUUGCAAAACUAAAUGGGACUGAAAAUAUACAUACAAUUAAUAAGAUUUAAUUCUUUACC
rnacentral:lncRNA from 1 species